rnacentral:rRNA from 1 species
UACGAAGGGGGCUAGCGUUGUUCGGAAUUACUGGGCGUAAAGGGCGCGUAGGCGGUACUUCAAGUCAGGCGUGAAAGCCCCGAGCUCAACCUGGGAACCGCGCUUGAGACUGGGGAACUAGAGUUCGGGAGAGGAUGGUGGAAUUCCCAGUGUAGAGGUGAAAUUCGUAGAUAUUGGGAAGAACACCGAUGGCGAAGGCAGCCAUCUGGACCGACACUGACGCUGAGGCGCGAAAGCGUGGGGAGCAAACAGG